rnacentral:rRNA from 1 species
ACAGCAGCAGCCGCGGGAAUACGUAGGGCGCAAGCGUUAUCCGGAAUUAUUGGGCGUAAAGAGCUCGUAGGCGGUUUGUCGCGUCUGCCGUGAAAGUCCGGGGCUCAACCCCGGAUCUGCGGUGGGUACGGGCAGACUAGAGUGAUGUAGGGGAGACUGGAAUUCCUGGUGUAGCGGUGAAAUGCGCAGAUAUCAGGAGGAACACCGAUGGCGAAGGCAGGUCUCUGGGCAUUAACUGACGCUGAGGAGCGAAAGCAUGGGGAGCGAACAGGAUUAGAUACCCCUGUAGUCCCUGUCUCUUAUAC